AGAUGAAAUGAAAUGCAUCAAACCCAGUUCAGUUUCUGCCUUUUAAAAUAUUGAAGGUGAAAAACAGGGAUAAUAUAGUAAGCAAAAAAAUGUCUCUCUGAGAAGAGAAUCUUUGUUCUGUAUCAGCCAUUGUCAGAACAGAAAAGCAGCUGUUCAAAAAGAGAGGUAAAACUAUUAUCUUUGUUCACCCUCGAUUCCCAUGGAAUUCAACAAAAAUAUGGAGAUGCUCAAGCAAUAUGGUAAAAAUAAAUGUGUGAUUUGGAUGAAAAUGAUUAUACAAACAUAAAGAUACAAAGCCCAUCUGGGGAUAACUCCAGAGAAACUACAACUACCUGCUGGAGGCCUUCAUAGUAGAGAGCAGGAAGGCUCUUGUGAUUUCUACUGUUGUGGAAGAACAUGUAUGGUAUCAAGUAGUCUUCAGUAAAUGGAAUUCAAGUAAAAGGAAGGAGACCGUGACUGCUGUGCUGGUGUUUGCUUGGGUCUCCAUUCUCUGCUGAAAGUAUCACAAGCUCCAAAUUGCUGCUCCUCCAGAAAGCGUUACGCACACCAGGACUUGUCCUAGUGUCUCGGGCAAGUGUAAGCAAGCACAGCUUCAUGUGCUGCUGACCAAUGGAACUGUGAAGCACAAGGGUGGAGAGAAUAGAGUGAAAGGAAAUUUUCUUGGUGAGCUGUCAAAACACUUGGAACUGGCUGAUAGAAUGGAAAAGUCUACACACUGUAUUAUCACUCAAAGCAAUCCUAUAUCCUGUUUUCUGAACUUUCCUGAAAAGGUAUCUUGGCAUCAGCAUUUGAAAUAGCCAUAAAAUACUAUACUGAUAAAGUGCUUACAGGCUAUGUCUUCUGCAGUGCAUAGAGGCAGGCAGUUAGCAAAGAUAAUUUGGGGUAAGUAGUAAGACUGAGUUCCACACCAUUUCCAAGUUUCCAUACUAAAUGAUCAGUUUUCUUAGCCUGUAAUUCACAACAAACCUCUAGAAAUACUUGUGAUGAGAUUCAUUUGGAAUCUACAGAGUGACUGAUGGGAUUCAUGGUGUUUGACGUUAGAACAGACUUUUUUUAAACAGACUUUCUUAUUCACUGUGUUCCUAAUUUUGGGUUGGACUCAAUGAUCUCUAGAGGUCCCUUCCAACCCCUACAGUUCUGUAUUUCUGUGAUUUUAAAGUUUCAAACUUCCCUUCUCCUCUUCAGUAGUUGUCCUUUAAAUUAAUAACCAAACUAACAAACAACGAGCUUUGCUUUUGGACUGAUUUUUUCUGUCAUUUUUUGACUUGAGACACAUUUUUUUUUUUUUUUUCCAAAUGAGUUAAAUACUCCUCAAAAAUCUUCUGAUAGAAGACAUACUGAUGCAGCUUUGGUAACAGGAGGCUCUAAUUGGUGCAGAUGGAUGGCUGCAAAACUGUCAGUUUAGCUCUACGAUAUUCACUAAGCAGACAAAGGAGUUUAUAUGUAAACUAUAGAACAAAGCAGUUCAUAUGUGAAUUAUAGUAUUUCUUUUCUGGUUAGUUUCACGCUGACAUGUAUUUCCAUUUGUACUCAUUUUGUUUCUCACUGAUUAAAUUAUUUCCCAAAU
rnacentral:lncRNA from 7 species